UACGUAGGUGGCAAGCGUUGUCCGGAAUUAUUGGGCGUAAAGCGCGCGCAGGCGGUCCUUUAAGUCUGAUGUGAAAGCCCACGGCUCAACCGUGGAGGGUCAUUGGAAACUGGGGGACUUGAGUGCAGAAGAGGAAAGCGGAAUUCCACGUGUAGCGGUGAAAUGCGUAGAGAUGUGGAGGAACACCAGUGGCGAAGGCGGCUUUCUGGUCUGUAACUGACGCUGAGGCGCGAAAGCUAGGGUAGCAAACGGG
rnacentral:rRNA from 1 species